AAAUGUCAUGUUCAAAUUUUUCGACUUUUAAAAGUGGAAAACGUUAUUGAAGAAAUAUUAUAGCUUUUUAUAGAAUAUAAUGAUUCAAUGCGAUAAUUGAUAUAAAAAUUCAAAUGAUGGUGUCGGAAGAAAUAAUUCGAAAUACAGAAAAAUGUGUCUAUCCCUCACAGAACUAAAUCAUUGAAUUGGAAUAACAUUAUCGCACAGCAUCAUUGAACACCAGACCCAACUCCCAAUGAAAAUCUGAAUACGUUUAUUGAGCUAAUCAUAAGAACGCUAAUGGAACUUAUUGGCAAUGUAUGAAGUUUGAUGUUUUUGCCAUGUUUCAAUUAGGAUAUGAGCAAAUCUUGGUCGUCUACUCGCACAUCGAACAAAGGGCAUAGAUUCCUUGACUUUGGAAUUUAUGUGACUAAUUGCAAAGCAUUUGACAAAUAAGAAGUUUAACUAUAGACGCAACACAUUACCGUCAUAUUGAUCCUAUGUGGACAUUGAUAAGAAGUUCUAGGGUGCAUAUAGUAUUCAACGUGAUCAUAAUAAUAAUAAAUUACUAAUACCCAAGGCUCACCGAAAUAAUUAUGCAAAAAUGUAUCUUCAGACG